GUCGAGCGGACAGAUGGGAGCUUGCUCCCUGAUGUUAGCGGCGGACGGGUGAGUAACACGUGGGUAACCUGCCUGUAAGACUGGGAUAACUCCGGGAAACCGGGGCUAAUACCGGAUGGUUGUUUGAACCGCAUGGUUCAAACAUAAAAGGUGGCUUCGGCUACCACUUACAGAUGGACCCGCGGCGCAUUAGCUAGUUGGUGAGGUAACGGCUCACCAAGGCGACGAUGCGUAGCCGACCUGAGAGGGUGAUCGGCCACACUGGGACUGAGACACGGCCCAGACUCCUACGGGAGGCAGCAGUAGGGAAUCUUCCGCAAUGGACGAAAGUCUGACGGAGCAACGCCGCGUGAGUGAUGAAGGUUUUCGGAUCGUAAAGCUCUGUUGUUAGGGAAGAACAAGUACCGUUCGAAUAGGGCGGUACCUUGACGGUACCUAACCAGAAAGCCACGGCUAACUACGUGCCAGCAGCCGCGGUAAUACGUAGGUGGCAAGCGUUGUCCGGAAUUAUUGGGCGUAAAGGGCUCGCAGGCGGUUUCU
rnacentral:rRNA from 1 species